ensembl:snRNA U1 U1 spliceosomal RNA
AUUGUUGUUGGGUUCACCCAGGGCGAGGCUCAGCAUUGAACUCGGGCUGUGCUGAUCCCUGCAAAUUCCCCAAAUAUGGGGAUCUCGACUGCAUAAUUACUGAUAGUGAGGGACUGCGUUCGCGCUCUUGUCCUGA